CCUACGGGAGGCAGCAGUGGGGAAUAUUGGGCAAUGGGCGCAAGCCUGACCCAGCAAAGCCGCGUGAAGGAAGAAGGCUUUCGGGUUGUAAACUUCUUUUAAGCGGGAAGAGUAGAAGACGGUACCUCUUGAAUAAGCCACGUCGAAAUAAGUGCCAGCAGCCGCGUUAAUACGUAGGUGGCAAGCGUUGUCCGGAUUUCGUGGGUGUAAAGGGCGUGUAGCGGGGCCGGGAAGUCAGAUGUGAAAUCCCAAGGCUCAACCGUGGCACUGCAUUUGAAACUGUUGGUCUUGUGUAUCGGAGAGGCAGGCGGAAUUCCUAGUGUAGCGGUGAAAUGCGUAGAUAUUAGGAGGAACACCAGUGGCGAAGGCGGCCUGCUGGACGACAACUGACGGUGAGGCGCGAAAGCGUGGGUAUCAAACAGGAUUAGAUACCCCUGUAGUC
rnacentral:rRNA from 1 species